AGCUCAGUUGUAAUUACCAGCAUUACAACCACCACCAUUACCAGUGUGGGGGCGGGCUGACUAUACCCUGAAGAAUUGCAAACAAGAAGCCCGCUCCCAUCCAGGAGCGGGCUUUUUGUUU
rfam:Shewanella algae strain BrY contig_46_2, whole genome shotgun sequence.